GGGCAGGCAGAAGGUGGCCGCCCCGUCUAAUACGCGGGGAGGAAAGUCCGAGCUCCAUAGGGUAGCGUAAUGGGUAACGCCCAUCUCCUUGCUGCGAAGCAGCAAGGAAGGAUCAGCCGCAAGGCGCUCCCGCAAGCUUUGUGCGGGACAGAGCUACAGAGACGAGAAAUAACUUUCGGUUGUGAUUUCCUAGAUCCCCCAGGCGCCAAGCGCCUGUGGGAUCACAUCACAACCGAAGGUUGUGAUGUGAAACGAGCAAUCUCUACGCGGAGUAAGGCCAAAUAAGGGACCAGGGGUGCCCUCCCCGUCUGAAGUCUCGGGUAGGCUGCUUGACCUAGGCAGUAAUGCCUAGGCUUAGAGGAAUGGCCACACUAGAGACGGAUAAUCGCCUCUACACAGAACUCGGCUUAUUCUGUCUGCCCUAUU
rnacentral:RNase_P_RNA from 1 species